AUCUCUCUACUGGUCACAUAUGCAUCCUUGCUAUUGGUCCUGGCCCUGCUCCUGCGCCUUUGUAGACAGCCCCUGCAUCUGCACAGCCUCCACAAGGUGCUGCUGCUCCUCAUUAUGCUGCUUGUGGCCGCUGGCCUUGUGGGACUGGACAUCCAAUGGCAGCAGGAGUGGCAUAGCUUGCGUGUGUCACUGCAGGUCCCAAGAUUCUGCUACUGCUCCUAUUUUUUGGAGUUGUCCUGGUCAUCUACUUGGCCCCCCUAUGCAUCUCCUCACCCUGCAUCAUGGAACCCAGAGAUUUACCACCCAAGCCUGGGCUGGUGGGACACCGAGGGGCCCCCAUGCUGGCUCCCGAGAACACCCUGAUGUCCUUGCGGAAGACAGCUGAAUGCGGAGCUACUGUGUUUGAGACUGAUGUGAUGGUCAGCUCCGACGGGGUCCCCUUCCUCAUGCAUGAUGAGCACCUCAGCAGGACCACGAAUGUAGCCUCUGUAUUCCCAACCCGAAUAACAGCCCACAGCAGUGACUUCUCCUGGACUGAACUGAAGAGACUCAAUGCUGGAUCCUGGUUCCUAGAGAGGCGACCCUUCUGGGGGGCCAAACCGCUGGCAGGCCCUGAUCAGAAAGAGGCUGAGAGUCAGACGGUACCAGCAUUAGAAGAGCUAUUGGAGGAAGCUGCAGCCCUCAACCUUUCCAUCAUGUUCGACUUGCGCCGACCCCCACAGAACCACACAUACUAUGACACUUUUGUGAUCCAGACAUUGGAGACUGUGCUGAAUGCAAGGGUGCCCCAAGCCAUGGUGAUGUUGCCAGGACCCCCUCUCCCCACCCUGCCUUCCCUAGGCCAUGAUGAUGAGGAUGAUUUUGAGGCUGCCCCUACCCCCAGGGCCCUGCCCCAGCUCACAUACCCCAUUCUGUGGUCAAAACUCUUUGCCCCUGUCCCUGCCCUUGGAAUCCCUAGGUCUUCCCCAGCUUCACACCCAUCCUUCCUGAACCACAGGUCUUUUGGCUACCAGAUGAAGAUCGGGCUAAUGUCCAACGACGGGCACCUGGAAUGCGCCAGAUAUAUGGACGUCAGGGAGGCAACAGAACGGAGAGGCCCCAGUUUCUUAACCUCCCCUAUCAAGAUCUGCCACUAUUGGAUAUCAAGGCAUUGCAUAAGGAUAAUGUCUCGGUGAACCUAUUUGUAGUGAACAAGCCCUGGCUCUUCUCUCUGCUUUGGUGUGCAGGGGUGGAUUCGGUCACCACCAACGACUGCCAGCUGCUGCAGCAGAUGCGUUACCCUAUCUGGCUUAUUACCCCUCAAACCUACCUAAUCAUAUGGGUCAUUACCAAUUGUGUUUCCACCAUGCUGCUUUUGUGGACCUUCCUCCUCCAAAGGAGAUUUGUUAAGAAGAGAGGGAAAACUGGCUUAGAAACAGCAGUGCUGCUGACAAGGAUCAACAAUUUCAUGAUGGAGUGAAUGCCCUGCCCUGCUUCCCCACCCAAGCCAGUCUACAUUGCCCAAACAGCAAGGGUUGGAGAGCGGCUUAAGUGGAAUGCUUCAGGGGUGGUGGGUUGCAAGUGGGGGGAGCUUUGCCAACAGGAGGUUUUGAACCAUGAGGGCCCUCUGCCCAGGUGAUGGGCAUUCCCUAAGCUGCUAUGGAAUCUGCUCCCUUUGGGGUUUUGACCUGAGAUGUUUGGGAAGACAGUGAGUAAUGAGAAGUUUCUCCCCAAAUGAAACUAGAACAGAGGAAGUAAAAGGGAGAUUGCUCGG
rnacentral:sRNA from 1 species